AGAAGAAGUAAGGCCCCUCAAAGACGAUGAGGUAGAUAGGCCGGGUAUGGAAGCGCAGUGAUGCGUGGAGUUGACCGGUACUAAUCGGCCGAGGACUUGAUCAGAGCC
rnacentral:rRNA from 1 species